rnacentral:rRNA from 1 species
CUCCGUGCCAGCAGCCGCGGUAAGACGGAGGAUGCAAGUGUUAUCCGGAAUCACUGGGCGUAAAGCGUCUGUAGGUGGUUUAAUAAGUCAACUGUUAAAUCUUGAGGCUCAACUUCAAAAUCGCAGUCGAAACUAUUAGACUAGAGUAUAGUAGGGGUAAAGGGAAUUUCCAGUGGAGCGGUGAAAUGCGUAUAUAUUGGAAAGAACACCGAUGGCGAAAGC